UGGUACCCCUGCACUGCAGAGCAACCAGAGGUCUAGAAGAAGCAGACAAAAAGUCUCGUAGGAAAGGGAUGAGAAGAACGCUGAAAAGGAACCACCAAGCACGAUGAAGCUACACCUUUCAUUGUACUCACCAGGUGACUUAAUUCCUGAAAUGAGAUUAAGAAUUCACCACCCAAAUGUAAUCAUCAGACACCACGAAAAGUAUGUGGAAAGUUCAGCUCAUUCUAGCUGUUCCACAGGGACUCUGAGGGAUGAAUGCACAGGUUUAAAACUGCUGCUUAGGUAUUCCUCUCCCUUCAGUUUUCCAAUUGUCACUUCUCCUUCUUAACCAACUAGUGCAUCUUCCCCUGGUUUUGUAAAAUAACAUCUCCUGCACUUUGUCUCUGCAGAGGCAGCACCCAAACAGCCAUAACUCAGUGCUGUCAGCCCAUGCAAGUAUAAAGUCAGGGAUUUCACAAGUUAUUUGCUCCUGGAAGUUUUCUCACAUGGAUACAUCAAUGUUUUCUGAGUUCUAAGAAUUUUAACUGAGUUACUGAUAGGUCACAGUUUUGUCAGCCUCUCUUAUUGGGCAGUUUCCCUGUUACAUCUGUUGUCAGUGCAUGUGCAAUUUCAGAAAUCAAUGGCAGAUUAGUUCUCUUUCAAUAGCAUGUGUAUUCAGAAGCACAGCAGCUUUCUCAGCCAUUUUAACUCUUGCUGGAGGUCUCUUUCACACUAGCACCCUCUCUAAUGUACUUCAGAGACAUUAAAGCACUGGAGAAACAUUU